ACUUUAUUCAAAUUCAAGAUACUACCAUGGUAUAAUAGGUUGAAAGGUACCUCCACUGGGCCCUUCCCGGUUGGGCCCGAUUUCAGGCGGUGUGGUGGCGCUAGUUGGAGGUAAAGUUAGUCUCAACAUGGGAAAGAUAGGAAAUAGCAUCUUAUUUGUUAUUCUGUUAAGU